ACUUAAAUAGCUUAUAUUAGAGUAUAGUAUUGAAGAUACUAGGGAAAACUAGAUUUUUUAAGUA
rnacentral:tRNA from 1 species